UAGGGAAUCUUCCGCAAUGGGCGAAAGCCUGACGGAGCAACGCCGAGUGAGUGAUGAAGGUCUUCGGAUCGUAAAACUCUGUUAUUAGGGAAGAACAAAUGUGUAAGUAACUAUGCACGUCUUGACGGUACCUAAUCAGAAAGCCACGGCUAACUACGUGCCAGCAGCCGCGGUAAUACGUAGGUGGCAAGCGUUAUCCGGAAUUAUUGGGCGUAAAGCGCGCGUAGGCGGUUUUUUAAGUCUGAUGUGAAAGCCCACGGCUCAACCGUGGAGGGUCAUUGGAAACUGGAAAACUUGAGUGCAGAAGAGGAAAGUGGAAUUCCAUGUGUAGCGGUGAAAUGCGCAGAGAUAUGGAGGAACACCAGUGGCGAAGGCGACUUUCUGGUCUGUAACUGACGCUGAUGUGCGAAAGCGUGGGGAUCAAACAGG
rnacentral:rRNA from 1 species